UACGUAGGUGGCGAGCGUUGUCCGGAUUUACUGGGCGUAAAGAGCGCGCAGGCGGUCGUGCAAGUCGCGUGUGAAAGCCCCCGGCUCAACUGGGGAGGGUCACGCGAUACUGCUCGACUCGAAGGCAGGAGAGGGAAGUGGAAUUCCCGGUGUAGUGGUGAAAAUGCGUAGAUAUCGGGAGGAACACCAGUGGCGAAGGCGACUUCCUGGCCUGUUCUUGACGCUGAGGCGCGAAAGCUAGGGUAGCAAACGGG
rnacentral:rRNA from 1 species